rnacentral:rRNA from 1 species
AUUGAACGCUGGCGGCAGGCCUAACACAUGCAAGUCGAGCGGAGCGGUGGACGGGUGAGUAAUGCCUAGGAAUCUGCCUGGUAGUGGGGGAUAACGUCCGGAAACGGGCGCUAAUACCGCAUACUAUCAGAUGAGCCUAGGUCGGAUUAGCUAGUUGGUGGGGUAAAGGCCUACCAAGGCGACGAUCCGUAACGGGGCUGAGGGGAUGAUCAGUCACACUGGAACUGAGAAAGGGUCCAGCCUCCUACGGGAGGCAGCAGUGGGAAAUAUUGGACAUUGGGCGAAAGCCUAAUCCAGCCAUGCCGCGUGUGUGAAGAGGGUCUUCGGCUUGUAAAUCACUUUAAGUUGGGAGGCGUUACCAACAGAAUAGGCACCGGCUAACUUCGUGCCAGCAGCCGCGGUAUUC